CAACGCUGGACACGUCGCAAUAAUGCCGGACGUGCUGGAUACGCGUCAACUGAACCAGACAAUCAACCCGGUAAAGUUGGUGUUCAAUUCAAAGCCUAUCGGAAACUGACGGAGGGAGGCGCUACGUGCACGUUGGUUGAACCAAGUGCUUGCAGAUCUGGAGACAGCUCGUCGUCCGGGGUAUCUUCGAGCAGCAAAAGUGAACCUCUACCGCCUAAAAAGGUGAUGCAGGUUGAUUUACCAGCCCAAGUGACUAUCAACAGAGACGACAUUGAAAAUGCGGAGAAGCAGAAUCAUCCAGCGGAAAGUUUCAAGUAUUUUUUCGGACAUCUAGUAAAUUGUGACGUUUUCCAAAC